AACUGACUUCGGUCAAGGGUAUACGAGUAGCUGUGCUCCCCUGCUAGAACCUCCAAACGAGCUCAGGAGGAAUGCUUGUAAGAGGCCAUCCUGGGGUCAGGUUGUGGCAAAGCGGGUUAAGCCACCACUGGCAAUGCCGGCAUCCCAUUUGGG
rnacentral:snRNA from 1 species